rnacentral:rRNA from 1 species
UACGUAGGGUCCGAGCGUUGUCCGGAAUUACUGGGCGUAAAGCGCACGUAGGCGGCUUUGCAAGUUAGAGGUGAAAGCCCGGGGCUCAACUCCGGAAUUGCCUUUAAAACUGCAUCGCUAGAAUUGUGGAGAGGUAAGUGGAAUUCCGAGUGUAGAGGUGAAAUUCGUAGAUAUUCGGAAGAACACCAGUGGCGAAGGCGACUUACUGGACACAUAUUGACGCUGAGGUGCGAAAGCGUGGGGAGCAAACAGG